GAUGAACGCUAGCUACAGGCUUAACACAUGCAAGUCGAGGGGCAUCAGGAAGAAAGCUUGCUUUCUUUGCUGGCGACCGGCGCACGGGUGAGUAACACGUAUCCAACCUGCCCUUUACUCGGGGAUAGCCUUUCGAAAGAAAGAUUAAUACCCGAUAGCAUAAUGAUUCCGCAUGGUUUCAUUAUUAAAGGAUUCCGGUAAAGGAUGGGGAUGCGUUCCAUUAGGUUGUUGGUGAGGUAACGGCUCACCAAGCCUUCGAUGGAUAGGGGUUCUGAGAGGAAGGUCCCCCACAUUGGAACUGAGACACGGUCCAAACUCCUACGGGAGGCAGCAGUGAGGAAUAUUGGUCAAUGGGCGCUAGCCUGAACCAGCCAAGUAGCGUGAAGGAUGAAGGCUCUAUGGGUCGUAAACUUCUUUUAUAUAAGAAUAAAGUGCAGUAUGUAUACUGUUUUGUAUGUAUUAUAUGAAUAAGGAUCGGCUAACUCCGUGCCAGCAGCCGCGGUAAUACGGAGGAUCCGAGCGUUAUCCGGAUUUAUUGGGUUUAAAGGGAGCGUAGGUGGACUGGUAAGUCAGUUGUGAAAGUUUGCGGCUCAACCGUAAAAUUGCAGUUGAUACUGUCAGUCUUGAGUACAGUAGAGGUGGGCGGAAUUCGUGGUGUAGCGGUGAAAUGCUUAGAUAUCACGAAGAACUCCGAUUGCGAAGGCAGCUCACUGGACUGCAACUGACACUGAUGCUCGAAAGUGUGGGUAUCAAACAGGAUUAGAUACCCUGGUAGUCCACACAGUAAACGAUGAAUACUCGCUGUUUGCGAUAUACAGUAAGCGGCCAAGCGAAAGCAUUAAGUAUUCCACCUGGGGAGUACGCCGGCNACGGUGAAACUCAAAGGGAAUUUGACGGGGCCCNGCACAAGCGGAAGAACAUGUGGUUUAAUUCGAUGAUACGCGAGGAACCUUCCCCGGGCUUAAAUUGCAGUGGAAUGAUGUGGAAACAGGUCACUCAGCAAUCACCGCUGUGAAGGUGCUGCAUGGUCGUCGUCAGCUCGUGCCGUGAGGUGUCGGCUUAAGUGCCAUAACGAGCGCAACCCUUAUCUUUAGUUACUAACAGGUUAUGCUGAGGACUCUAGAGAGACUGCCGUCGUAAGAUGUGAGGAAGGUGGGGAUGACGUCAAAUCAGCACGGCCCUUACGUCCGGGGCUACACACGUGUUACAAUGGGGGGUACAGAAGGCAGCUAGCGGGUGACCGUAUGCUAAUCCCAAAAGCCUCUCUCAGUUCGGAUCGAAGUCUGCAACCCGACUUCGUGAAGCUGGAUUCGCUAGUAAUCGCGCAUCAGCCACGGCGCGGUGAAUACGUUCCCGGGCCU
rnacentral:rRNA from 1 species